rnacentral:rRNA from 1 species
GCGUUAUUCGGAAUUAUUGGGCGUAAAGGGCGCGUAGGCGGCUGUACAAGUCAAAGGUGAAAUCCCUCGGCUCAACUGAGGAACUGCCUUUGAAACUGUCUGGCUUGAGGCCGGGAGAGGGUAGCGGAAUUCCCAGUGUAGCGGUGAAAUGCGUAGAUAUUGGGAGGAACACCAGUGGCGAAGGCGGCUACCUGGACCGGUUCUGACGCUGAGGCGCGAAAGCGUGGGUAGCAAACAGG